CAGCCGCCACGGGAAUACGUAGGGUGCAAGCGUUAAUCGGAAUUACUGGGCGUAAAGCGUGCGCAGGCGGUUCUAUAAGACAGAUGUGAAAUCCCCGGGCUCAACCUGGGAACCGCAUUUGUGACUGUAGAGCUGGAGUGCGGCAGAGGGGGAUGGAAUUCCGCGUGUAGCAGUGAAAUGCGUAGAUAUGCGGAGGAACACCGAUGGCGAAGGCAAUCCCCUGGGCCUGCACUGACGCUCAUGCACGAAAGCGUGGGGAGCAAACAGGAUUAGAUACCCGCGUAGUCCCUGUCUCUUAUAC
rnacentral:rRNA from 1 species